rnacentral:rRNA from 1 species
GUGAUGAAGGCCUUCGGGUUGUAAAGCUCUGUCGGAGGGGACGAAAACUGACGGUACCCUCAAAGAAAGCACCGGCUAACUCCGUGCCAGCAGCCGCGGUAAUACGGAGGGUGCGAGCGUUAAUCGGAAUUACUGGGCGUAAAGCGUGCGUAGUCGGUUAUUUAAGUCGGGCGUGAAAGCCCCGGGCUCAACCUGGGAAUUGCGUUCGAUACUGGAUAGCUAGAGUUCGGCAGAGGGAAGCGGAAUUUCGGGUGUAGCGGUGAAAUGCGUAGAUAUCCGAAGGAACAUCAGUGGCGAAAGCGGCUUCCUGGACCAGAACUGACGAUCAGGCACGAAAGCGUGGGGAGCAAACAGGAUUAGAUACCCUGGUAGUCCACACCCUAAACGAUGAGUACUAGAUGUUGGUCCUUUUUAGGGUCAGUAUCCAAGCUAACGCAUUAAGUACUCCACCUGGGAAGUACAAUCGCAAGGUUG